rnacentral:rRNA from 1 species
AUACGGAGGAUGCGAGCGUUAUCCGGAUUUAUUGGGCUUAAAGGGAGCGUAGGUGGGAUAUUAAGUCAGCUGUGAAAGUUUGGGGCUCAACCUUAAAAUUGCAGUUGAUACUGGUUUCCUUGAGUACGGUACAGGUGGGCGGAAUUCGUGGUGUAGCGGUGAAAUGCUUAGAUAUCACGAAGAACUCCGAUUGCGAAGGCAGCUCACUGGACUGCAACUGACACUGAUGCUCGAAAGUGUGGGUAUCAAACAGGAUUAGAUACCCUGGUAGUCCACACAGUAAACGAUGAAUACUCGCUGUUUGCGAUAUACAGUAAGCGGCCAAGCGAAAGCAUUAAGUAUUCCACCUGGGGAGUACGCCGGCAACGGUGAAACUCAAAUGAAUUGGCGGGG